AUGAACCUUUGAGGGUUGAGCUGGCGUUUAUUCGCAUGUGCUUGCCCUCUCAUCCUUUAUACACCUGUGCACUUUUGAAGGGAGACAUUAGUAGACAUUCACUUGUCGAAGGUAUCUCCCUUUACACUACAUACUCUUAAUGCUUGCAGGCCGUGUCUGCCACUGUGGCUCUAACUGCAUGUCCCCAGGCCACUCUUAAUUUUUACUAUAGU
rnacentral:misc_RNA from 1 species